rnacentral:tRNA from 1 species
GCCGAGAUGGCGGAACCGGCAGACGCGGCGGUCUCAAAAACCGUUGGGCUAAACACCCAUGGGGGUUCGAAUCCCCCUCUCGGCACCA